GACGAACGCUGGCGGCGUGCUUAACACAUGCAAGUCGAACGGUGAAGCCCUUCGGGGUGGCUCAGUGGCGAACGGGUGAGUAACACGUGAGCAACCUGCCCCUGGCUCUGGGACAACCACUGGAAACGGUGGCUAAUACCGGAUACGACCCGCCUCGGCAUCGAGUGUGGGUGGAAUGUUUUUCGGCUGGGGAUGGGCUCGCGGCCUAUCAGCUUGUUGGUGAGGUGAAGGCUCACCAAGGCGACGACGGGUAGCCGGCCUGAGAGGGCGACCGGCCACACUGGGACUGAGACACGGCCCAGACUCCUACGGGAGGCAGCAGUGGGGAAUAUUGCACAAUGGGCGAAAGCCUGAUGCAGCGACGCCGCGUGAGGGAUGACGGCCUUCGGGUUGUAAACCUCUUUCAGCUCCGAAGAAGCGAAAGUGACGGUAGGAGCAGAAGAAGCACCGGCUAACUACGUG
rnacentral:rRNA from 1 species